UCCACAGCACCUCCUGCAGCGCAGACGACAUUCAUUGCCGGAAAUUCGUGUAUUCUGAUAGAUCCACAAAACCAAUGGUAACACUUUACAUGAAGCCCCCCCUUCUCUCUCCAUCCCCCUAUCUCAAUUAAGAUGCAGACAGGAGCAAACCUCGUUGGUGAGAGAAAGGGAAAGAGAGAGAGAGAAAAUAAACCUUAGGGAUGGAAAAAGGACAGGGAGGGAGCGUUUACUGAACUUCUGAAGGACACUCGAGGGAGAUACGGCACACCUGAAGGGUCACUAUCAUCGGUCAGCCACCUUUCAGCGUUGCAGAAAUGUGUGAACUACUAGAAGAAGUGGGAUGACCGCUGCAUUAUCGCUUCCACUCUCGAAGGGAAAUAUGUCCAGUAUUUUGCUCUGCCUGUUGUGUGGGAGGGUUGAAGGGGGAUCAUUCUCGGUCUCAAGUGGGAGGUGUUGAACCACCACAGAAGACAGGAGAAGAAGAAGGCUCAUUGUUAAUGUCAUCAGUAACUUCAUUGCCAGCUUUAACUCAAUCACACCUCUCUGGGCUUAGUCUUUUGGGCGGUGCACCACUUAAUAUUUGGGCCCUGUUAUGUUAUGAUUCCAAUGCCAUAAACACAAACUCAAUGAAACAUUCACUUGGCUGUAAACA